CCGUUUACUUUUACCCCACUUAUUCGCCUAUAUAUACGAACCCUUUUCUUUCAUGGAAAAUCAUCUUGAAAAAUACGAAUUGUAAAGAUUGCCGGAAGAAACAGAGACAACAAUUACUACGAAUUGUUAACGGCGAUACCGUUAUGGACGAGGGUGGUUUGUUCAAGGUUUGAUCGGAACGACCCGGUUGAAUGUGAAUAGUUUAUCCAUGAAGAAACCUUCCAGUCGUGGCGAUCUAGCGGUAGGCCGGUUUGACGGUCGGAUUGUUAAGUGAUUUAAACUGCUGUUGAAUAUGAAGAUAAAGAAAAUAUGUAAGGAUGAGUGUUUAAUUCUUUUAUCACAAUUCUUUAAUCA